AGGAAGAAUCAAAGUUGAAAAACGAAGCUGGCCCCCAGGGCCGAGGGCAUCGAGGACAAAAAGAAUAGUUGGUAGAUCGAAAUUAAAGUUAGUUGGCGCCUCGUUCUUGGCCUGGUGCCGCACUGUGAAGAGGUCAAUUCUUGAUUCUAUAGCAUCUUUUUUUGGCAUCAUACCAUACUUCUGGGCAGACGGGAACGGCUCCACUGGCUCAGGCCCCACGUCCUGCCUCUUCCUGCUGAGUGGGUAGAGGAGAGGCACCUCCAGCCUCAGAGAGCYGAAACUGAGCUGCUGCAGUGUCCGAACCUGGGAGAAGGGAGGAGCAGAAUUUCUGCUGUGGGUACCGGGGUGGAGAGGGGGUGAGUAGGAGGCAUAUCUCUGUGUGUAUGUGAUCCUGCAAAAUGUUGAAAUACUGUUAACAGCAGAUCACCAGUGGGAGUGUCUCGGAACAGAUCUGGGCCUGCUAGCUGCUGAAAUGGAGCCUCAUUGGUUUAAUGAGUUGUGUAUCUUAUUGGAAGCAGUAAUCCAGACCUCUCUUUCUGUCUCUGCAGCUGAUUUGGGCUUAAAUCAAAUGCUGUGGCUCACAUGAAUGAAAAUAGAAGUAAUGCAUUAGCAGUAUUAGGGAGCUAAUGUUCAAACAGUGCUUUGAAGAUAAAAUAUAUACUGCUAAAUAUUCAUAGAAGAAAGGGCUAAUAGGGGCCUGAAGAGGUCAUCU
rnacentral:lncRNA from 1 species